CGAAGGAGUAUUUACAAGAACAAGUUUGAGCUGACGUAUGUGGGACCCAGCCAGGUGAUAGUGAAGAACCUGUCUUCAGGGACCAGGGUGGUGCUCAAGUCCCACUAUGGCUAUGAGGUAGAAGAGGUGAAGAUCCUGGGGAAGGAACGGUACUUGGUGGCUCACACAUCGGACACGCUGCUGCUCGGAGACUUGAACACCAAUCGCCUCAGUGAGAUAGCCUGGCAGGGAUCUGGUGGCAAUGAGAAAUAUUUCUCUGAAAAUGAGAAUGUG